CUGGCGGCGUGCCUAACACAUGCAAGUCAACUUGACUGAAGGAGCAAUCUGACAGUAGAGUGGCGCAAGGGUGCGUAACGCGUAAGUAACUUGCCCCAAGGUAAGGAAUAACGUCGAGAAAUCGGCGCUAAUACCUCAUAAUGCAGCGGAUCCGCAUGGAUAUGUUGUUAAAGGUUUACCGCCUUGGGAUAGGCUUGCGUCUGAUUAGCUAGUUGGUGUGGUAACGGCACACCAAGGCUACGAUCAGUAACUGGUCUGAGGGGAUGAUCAGUCACACUGGAACUGAGACACGGUCCAGACUCCUACGGGAGGCAGCAGUGAGGAAUAUUGGGCAAUGCUCGAAAGAGUGACCCAGCAACGCCGCGUGGAGGAUGAAGGUAUUCUAUAUCGUAAACUCCUGUGAGAGCAGACGAAAGACAGAUUAUUAAUCUGGAUGACUGUAUGCUCAGAGGAAGCCCCGGCUAACUACGUG
rnacentral:rRNA from 1 species